rnacentral:rRNA from 1 species
GCGGUGUGCCUAAUACAUGCAAGUCGAGCGGUAAGGCCCCUUCGGGGGUACACGAGCGGCGGACGGCUGAGUAACACGUAGGAACGUACCCCAAAGUGAGGGAUAAGCACCAGAAAUGGUGUCUAAUACCGCAUGUGGCCUUCGGGCUAAAGCUUUAUGCGCUUUGGGAACGGCCUGCGCAUGAUUAGCUUGUUGGUGAGGUAAUAGCUCACCAAGGCGACGAUCAUUAGCUGGUCUGAGAGGAUGAUCAGCCAGACUGGGACUGAGACACGGCCCAGACUCCUACGGGAGGCAGCAGUAGGGAAUUUUCCACAAUGGGCGAAAGCCUGAUGGAGCAACACCGCGUGCAGGAUGAAGGCCCUUGGGUCGUAAACUGCUUUUAUAUGUGACGAUUAUGACGGUAGCAUAUGAAUAAGGAUCGGCUAACUCCGUGCCAGCAGCCGCGGUCAUACGGAGGAUCCAAGCGUUAUCCGGAAUUACUGGGCGUAAAGAGUUGCGUAGGUGGCAUUGUAAGUUGGUAGUGAAAGCGUUCGGCUCAACCGGAUAUCCAUUACCAAAACUGCAAAGCUAGAGGAUGAGAGAGGUUAUUGGAAUUCCCUGUGUAGGAGUGAAAUCCGUAGAUAUAGGGAGGAACACCGAUGGCGUAGGCAGAUAACUGGCUCAUUCCUGACACUAAGGCACGAAAGCGUGGGUAGCAAACGGGAUUAGAUACCCCGGUAGUCCACGCCGUAAACUAUGGAUGCUAGCUGUAAGAGGUGUCGACCCCUCUUGUAGCGAAGCUAACGCGUUAAGCAUCCCGCCUGUGGAGUACGGUCGCAAGACUAAAACAUAAAGGAAUUGACGGGGACCCGCACAAGCGGUGGAGCGUGUUGUCUAAUUCGAUGGUAAGCGAAGAACCUUACCCAGGCUCGACAUCCUUGGAAUUUUGCCGAAAGGCGGGAGUACUUUAUUGGACCAAGUGACAGGUGUUGCAUGGCCGUCGUCAGCUCGUGUCG